GGUCCCAAGCCCGGAUCCUCAGCCGGGCCUUCACUCCCUGCUUUCCUGCUCCGCUGUCGCCGGAGCGGCGCCAUCUGGCGGCGUCGCCACUGACCUCCCCCGUCUCCGUCUCCGACGCCUCGCCGACGAGUUCAGCUCCCUCCCGGAGUCAAUCGAUCGCGUCAAGCGCCUCCUCCACUAUGCCGGUUACCUCCCGCCCUUCCCCGAAUCCGAGCGCGUGCCGGCCAAUCGCGUCAUGGGCUGCACGGCCCAGG
rnacentral:misc_RNA from 1 species